GAUGAACGCUGGCGGCGUGCUUAACACAUGCAAGUCGAACGGGAAACCUAUUAUUGAAACUUCGGUCGAUUUAAUUUGUUUCUAGUGGCGGACGGGGGAGUAACGCGUGGGUAACCUGCCCUAUACAGGGGGAUAACAACCAGAAAUGGUUGCUAAUACCGCAUAAGCGCACGGGACCGCAUGGUCCAGUGUGAACAACUCCGGUGGUAUAGGAUGGACCCGAGUUGGAUGAGCUAGUUGGUGGGGUAACGGCCCACCAAGGCGACGAUCCAUAGCCGGCCUGAGAGGGUGAACGGCCACAUUGGGACUGAGACACGGACCAGACUCCUACGGGAGGCAGCAGUGGGGAAUAUUGCACAAUGGGGGAAACCCUGAUGCAGCGACGCCGCUUGAAGGAAGAAGUAUCUCGGUAUGUAAACUUCUAUCAGGAGGGAAGAUAGUGACGGUACCUGACUAAGAAGCCCCGGCUAACUACGUGCCAGCCGCCGCCGUAAAAC
rnacentral:rRNA from 1 species